UCUCCUUGCCCGAUGAGACUCUCUUCUUCUCCUUUGUCUCCUUUUUUUUUUUGUCUGGCGAUUCUCCUUUGUUUUCUCCACCUAUUGCUUCUAUCAAUUCCAUCUUCAUCUAUGUCGUUGUUUUCAUCCUCUCAAGUUGUUAGAUCUUGUACCCAAGCACUCUAUCGCGGAUCUCAGAUCUUAGAUCUCAACCCCAUUGUUUCAUUGAUACAAGCUCGUUGUCUCUCCAUGAAAAUGGUGUCGCUUACCCUUGGCGUGAAAGGGAACAAACUAUCUAGAACGCGCUGGGUGUGUUCUAGGAUUAUAUCAAAGAGGUUCAAUGUAGGAUGAAGAGUUCGAUCUUGAUCGACCUACGGAUGGAUUUUUGUGUAUUUCUCAAGCUAUUGAAGAUAUUCGACAGAGCACGGUUUGUGAUAUAUAGUAGUGAUAGUGUUAGCUUUUGUUGUCUUUGAAGGAGAGGAUUUUAUUUUUUUGAGUUUGCAGAUGGUAGUUGUUGUAGAUGAUGAGGACAGAAAAAUGAAUGAGAUUUGAUAAUGUUGGCAUCGUUGGUAACGUACAUGAACCUAUGGCUUUUGUGGUUAAGCAUGGACUGGAAUCGUGUGUGUGAGCAUGUAAGGCAAAGCUGAGAUUUCAAAGCACAAAUCAAGCUGAGAUUCAAGUGUGUGUGUGAGCAUAUAAGGCGAAGCUGAGAUUUCAAAAGCACAAAUCAAGCUGAGAUUCAAGACUGCUGCAGAGAAGGAGGUGGUAUGUUAAGGUCAUUUCAAUGGACACAAAAGGCUUCAAAGAUGGAAUACAAGGCAAUUGGGAAUGGACACAAAAGGCUUCAAAGUUCAAACCAUUAUGUAGAUGUUAUCUUUUUUUUUUUAGGAGUAUGAUGUAUUCUUAUUUUUAAUUUUAU